rnacentral:misc_RNA from 1 species
UCCAUGCUGUCAUAUAUUCCUACGUCCACGGCGCAAAUCGUUCUUAAAGUCAGAUUUAUAAAUUUGACAUCCAUGACGUAUGUAAACGUAAAUUGAAAUCAGAUGAACCAGCGUUGCAGCUUUUCCUUCUAUUGUGUUGUAUUGCGACUGUCGUACAAGUUCGAAAAGUAGUCGUACAGAGAUUUAACGCCCAAAUUUGUUUGCGGGUGAAAUUACUUAUAACAAAUGAUAAGAGAUAGUGUACAACUCCGAUUGUAAAACGAGAUCUUAAGUUUCAUUAUAUGAUUUGAGACGGAUAUAGAUACCUAAUAAACAAUUAUGUAAAAGAUGAAUUGCAUCUCUAUAAUUUAUAGAGUAUUAUAAUCCAGUACGACAUAGUUUGUGGCCUUAAAAAUACUGCAUAAGGGUCAGUGAAACUAUAUCUAGUAUUAAAAUGAGUGGCAAAAUGAGAUAUGAUUCACUUUCGACGGAAUAUUUAAAGAGGAGCAGCACCAAAAAGAAAAGACGCAAGAAACCUUCGUCAAAUAGUUCGAGCGAGUCUGAAGUUGAUUCACGACAUAAAAGUUCUCGAAGGAAAGAUCGAAAGAAGAGAUCGAAUCAUCGCCACUCUUCGAAUAGUUCUAAUUCGUCAAGUAGUUCUGACAGUGAAUCGAACAUGGAAAAGAAUUUAAAGGCAAGAAAAACUCGUCUUUCCAAAUAUUGUCAUAAUGGAACUGAAAUUUGUUCCUUCGAGAGAGCUAUAGUUUCAAGGCAUGGUAGAAGCUGUAGCUCUUCAUCGGAAAAUGAUGAGAAGCACAAAAAGAUACAUAAAAGAAAGAGACACCGGAGUCACAAAAAGGAUAGUAAGUUUAAUAAAGGAAGCAGUAAUUCUCUUAGUAACACGAUAAGUCAUGGUAGUAGCCGUUACCAUUCAAGCAGUUCUCGUAACAGUAAUAUUAAAGAUAAUGAAACUGACAAAAGAAAUAUCAUUAAAUUGAUGAGAUAUAUGAAUGAAAAUUUAUCUGGUUUAAAAUCUAAAGAUGGCUGUGAAGAAAUGCAGAGUUUAAGUCAUGAAACGAGAGAAUAUUUGCAACGCAUUGGCCAGCUAAUUGCAGAGAAAACAAAAAAGAAGAGGUCUCACAGUAGUUCGUCGAGCUCAAGUAGCGAUAGCGACUCGAGCAGUAGCACUAGUAAUAACAGCACUACCACCAGUAGUAGUAGUAGUUCAGAAGAAGAGAUAAAACGUAAGAGACGAAGAAAAUCUGCAAAGAAAGUCAGGAAGACCGAAAGUAAACAAAAAAAGAAGAAAAAGAAAGCAAAAAAAAAAUCAAAGAAACAUUCCAGUAAAGACCGAAACCAGAAGCCUAUUGAUAUUUUAGACGACAGGUUACUUAACGAUAUUCCUAAAGAAGUUGAUAAAUCAAAAACUAUGGCUCCAAUGACGAAAGAGGAAUGGGAAAGAAAACAAAGUACUAUCCGAAGGGUCUACGAUGAAGCAUCUGGUAGACAUAGAUUAAUAAAAGGUGAAGGUGAGGUCUUAGAAGAAAUUGUGUCUCUACGUCGUCAUAAAGAAAUUAAUCGUUUAGCAACAUGCAGUGACGGACAAUUUUUUCAAACUCAGUUAAAUUUUAGAAAAUAAUACAAAUAAUGAAUACCUUAUUGACAGUGGUUGGCAAUGCACAGUAAUUUAUUAUAUUUCAUUUUGUCCUUAGUUGGAAUUUAAUUCAGUAUAUUACUGAAUAGAACUUUAUUUUUAUGUCAGAAAAAUGUAUUUACAAUAUGUUUGUUGCAUCUCGAACCAUGCAAUCAAGUAUUUCCCAAAAAUGUGCAUUUUAUCUUAUAGUAUUUAGUGACCGAUAUAUCAAUGUUGCUAUGUAUUUCUUACUGAAUUCUCUGAAUUAUUGGUAUUUUUAUCCAGUUUUGAAAACUCUGUCCUUAUUUUCUCUAGGAGGUAAGAAUAAACAAUGAUUAACGCGUGUCUAAUUUAAAAAUAAGGUCAAACUAUCUUUGUGUCAUGCUAGUUUUUAUAGUUACACAAAUAAUUUUGUAUAAAUUAUUUUAAUAUCACUUUGAACCAUUGUAUGAGAAUUAAAAUUAAGAUUGUAUUGUCCUGUAUAUCGGGUGUAUGUCAUGCAAAUUGUAUGUGUCGCAUUACAGAGUCUUGAUAUUGUCCAGAUUGGUAACACGUACCUAAUUAAUUGGCAUAAAUUACAUUGCAUUUAAAAUCCAACCGAUAAAUAAUUGGGUCAUACGAAUAACUAAUCGACACGUUUGGUUGGCUAUUUUUUAUUUAAUUAUUACAAGUAAACUGUACACUGUAGAAAAGAAAUUACAGGGCAUUUAAACUCCAUUUUCAACUAGGGUAAUGACGUAUAAACCAUGGGUACGAAUUCUGUUACACCCUGUAUAUGCAACUAGACAAAAAUAAAAAAAAGAAACGUCAAUAGUUAUUCGUAGCAGGCGACAACGAGGCAUCCUUAUGAAUUGACAUGUAAUUCGCCGGCACGUGGAGAUUUUUUGUUGGUCAGGAACUCCAAAAUUAUACAUUCGACUUACGAGAAAUCUCAGCAGAUUUUUCUUUAACAAUGAAGGCAUCGACAUAGACAAAAAGGGAAAGAAAUUCAAGCAACAAUGGAAAGUGACAUCGGAGAUCCAGAAUUUGAUUGGAUCAGUAGAACAUGUCUGAAUGCUUUCAACGUAUACCUAACGAUGGUACACUUGAUAAUUUAUGACAACAUAAUGAACAUACAGGCCAAUGACACUAAUGCCUUAUCCUAUGCAAUGUUCAUGGCUGUAGUGGAUUUCCUUGAAUACGCGAGCAUGUGAAAAAUCUCGAAGAACAUUGAAUACCAUCAUAUACACGAAAAUAAAAUAUUUACGCUCGAUUUAGGAUUUUGUCAAGUCAGUCGUUUUUUAUGUUUUAUAUAAACGUAAUUUCAAUAAUGACGUCAAUAUAUGGUAUCUGGUUGCAA